rnacentral:rRNA from 1 species
AACACAUGCAAGUCGAACGAUGAAGAAGAGCUUGCUCUUUGGAUUAGUGGCGAACGGGUGAGUAACACGUGAGCAAUCUGCCCUUGACUCUGGGAUAAGCGUUGGAAACGACGUCUAAUACCGGAUACGACCCUCGGAGGCAUCUCCUGGGGUGGAAAGAAUUUUGGUCAAGGAUGAGCUCGCGGCCUAUCAGCUAGUUGGUGAGGUAAUGGCUCACCAAGGCGACGACGGGUAGCCGGCCUGAGAGGGUGACCGGCCACACUGGGACUGAGACACGGCCCAGACUCCUACGGGAGGCAGCAGUGGGGAAUAUUGCACAAUGGGCGAAAGCCUGAUGCAGCAACGCCGCGUGAGGGACGACGGCCUUCGGGUUGUAAACCUCUUUUAGUAGGGAAGAAGCGAAAGUGACGGUACCUGCAGAAAAAG